rnacentral:rRNA from 1 species
CAGUCGCCGCGGGAAUACGAAGGGGGCUAGCGUUACUCGGAAUUACUGGGCGUAAAGCGCACGUAGGCGGCUUGGUAAGUUAGAGGUGAAAGCCUGGAGCUCAACUCCAGAAUUGCCUUUAAGACUGCCGAGCUAGCAGGUGAGAGAGGUAAGUGGAAUUCCGAGUGUAGAGGUGAAAUUCGUAGAUAUUCGGAAGAACACCAGUGGCGAAGGCGGCUUACUGGCUCAUACUGGACGCUGAGGUGCGAAAGCGUGGGGAGCAAACAGGAUUAGAUACCCCUGUAGUCCCUGUCUCUUAUAC